AUCCCGUGAUGCGGACACUUUCUGAUCAGGUCUUUGAAUCUCUCCCAGGUUUCAUAAAGAGACUCAUUGUCGUGCUGAAAGAAGUUAUUGAUCUCUGAUCUCAUUCU